rfam:Schistosoma margrebowiei strain Zambia genome assembly, scaffold: SMRZ_scaffold0002757
AUCUAGCUGACGUGUCCCGAAUAAGACGAAACGCGCGUUCUUCAU